UACGAAGGGGGCUAGCGUUGCUCGGAAUUACUGGGCGUAAAGCGCACGUAGGCGGCGAUUCAAGUUAGAUGUGAAAGGCCUGGGCUCAACCCGGGAACUGCAUUUGAUACUGAAUUGCUAGAGUCCAAGAGAGGGUAGUGGAAUUCCCAGUGUAGGAGGUGAAAUUCGUAGAUAUUGGGGAAGAACACCAGUGGCGAAAGGGCGGCUACCUGGCU
rnacentral:rRNA from 1 species